rnacentral:rRNA from 1 species
AGAGUUUGAUCAUGGCUCAGAUUGAACGCUGGCGGCAUGCCUUACACAUGCAAGUCGAACGGUAACAGGUCUUCGGAUGCUGACGAGUGGCGAACGGGUGAGUAAUACAUCGGAACGUGCCCGAUCGUGGGGGAUAACGGAGCGAAAGCUUUGCUAAUACCGCAUACGAUCUACGGAUGAAAGCAGGGGACCGCAAGGCCUUGCGCGGACGGAGCGGCCGAUGGCAGAUUAGGUAGUUGGUGGGAUAAAAGCUUACCAAGCCGACGAUCUGUAGCUGGUCUGAGAGGACGACCAGCCACACUGGGACUGAGACACGGCCCAGACUCCUACGGGAGGCAGCAGUGGGGAACUUUGGACAAUGGGCGAAAGCCUGAUCCAGCCAUGCCGCGUGCAGGAUGAAGGCCUUCGGGUUGUAAACUGCUUUUGUACGGAACGAAAAGACUCCUUCUAAUAAAGGGGGUCCAUGACGGUACCGUAAGAAUAAGCACCGGCUAACUACGUGCCAGCAGCCGCGGUAAUACGUAGGGUGCAAGCGUUAAUCGGAAUUACUGGGCGUAAAGCGUGCGCAGGCGGUUAUAUAAGACAGAUGUGAAAUCCCCGGGCUCAACCUGGGAACUGCAUUUGUGACUGUAUAGCUAGAGUACGGCAGAGGGGGAUGGAAUUCCGCGUGUAGCAGUGAAAUGCGUAGAUAUGCGGAGGAACACCGAUGGCGAAGGCAAUCCCCUGGGCCUGUACUGACGCUCAUGCACGAAGGCGU